UUCCAAAGGUAAUCUAGACUCUGUGCAUCUACCCAAUCUAUUCCUCUCAUGAUUUUGUACACCUCUAUAAGACCCCCCUCAUCCUUCUACGCUUCAUGGAAUAGACCCAGCCUACUCUUCUCUCCCUAUAGCUUGCACCCUCUAGCCCUGGCAACAUCCUAGUAAAUCUUUUCUGAACCCUUUAGAGCUUGACAAUA